rnacentral:rRNA from 1 species
AGUGAACGCUGGCGGUAUACCUAACACAUGCAAGUCGAACGGCAGCACAGUAAGAGGUGGCUCUUACGAGUGGCGAGUGGGGGAGGGGGGAGGAAGACAUAGGAAUCGACUUUUUCGUGGGGGGUGACGGAGGGAAACUGACGCUAAUACCUCAUACGACAUACGGGUGAAAGCAGGAUAGCUUCGGACCUUGCGCGAUUGAAGGAGCCGGUGUCGGAUUAGCUAGUUGGCGGGGUAAAGGCCCACCAAGGCGACGAUCCGUAGCUGGUCUGAGAGGAUGAUCAGCCACACUGGAACUGAGACACGGUCCAGACUCCUACGGGAGGCAGCAGUGGGGAAUAUUGGACAAUGGGCGCAAGCCUGAUCCAGCCAUACCGCGUGGGUGAAGAAGGCCUUCGGGUUGUAAAGCCCUUUUGUUGGGAAAGAAAAGCAGCAGGUUAAUACGCCGCUGUUCUGACGGUACCCAACGAAUAAGCCACGGCUAACUUCGUG